rnacentral:rRNA from 1 species
AUUGAACGCUGGCGGCAGGCCUAACACAUGCAAGUCGAGCGGCUGAACGGUGCUUGCUCCUGGUUUCAGCGGCGGACGGGUGAGUGAUUCCUAGGAAUCUGCCUGGCUAUUGUGUAUAGCGUCCUGACGCGGGCGCUAAUACCCCAUACGUCCAGAUGACGAACGGGGGGGAUCUUCGGACCUCACGCUAUCGGAUGAUCCUAGGUCGGAUUAGCUAGUUGGUGGGGUAAAGGCCUACCAAGGCGACGAUCCGUAACUGGUCUGAGAGGAUGAUCAGCCACACUGGAACUGAGACACGGUCCAGACUCCUACGGGAGGCAGCAGUGGGGAAUAUUGGACAAAGGGCGAAAGCCUGAUCCAGCCAUGCCGCGUGUGUGAAGAAGGUCUUCGGGUUGUAAAGCACUUUUAGUGGGGAGGAAGAGCAGUAGGUUAAUACCUUGCUGUUUUGACGGUACCAAAAGAAUAAGCACCGGCUAACUUCGUG